UCUUCGGUAGUAUAGUGGUCAGUAUGUGAGCUUGUCAUCUUUCCGAAGGACUCCGCUCGAGACCCGGGUUCAAUUCCCGGCGGGAGAG